ensembl:lincRNA 4833413E03Rik RIKEN cDNA 4833413E03 gene
GACCAAGCCUUCCACACACAGCUGAGAACUGUUCUCCAAACCUUAGCAGUCACCACUGAGAAAUACCGUGGGAAACUGUAUCACUCUAGCGCCCCGGUCUGAGCCCACCACAUGGACAGCCAGUCGCAAACUGGAGCUGUGGGAUCAGGUUUAAUCCGGUUGUGGAGGUGGGGAAGUGAACAACAGAGACUCCUCAUGCAGCAAGGACCUGGUACCUCCAGGACAGCGGUGUCCAGAUCGGAAUUCCCUCGUGCACAGGGCCCAGCUUGCCCAACUGUGUGGGAAGCUUCAGUCAACCAUGGCUCCACUUGGAACGUCAGAUCCCACAGGCCAAGACUCCACCCCGCCACAGGAUGGACCUCACUUCACACUUCAGGUCCUGGCUGGUAUUGGUGCUUUGGAUAGAUUUGUAUAAACUGGGAGUGGGGGGUGGUUAUGCCUUGAAUUUGAGUUCCUCUGAGUAUACUUUGUCAUUUGCUAGAAUUGUUCGUAGAACUCUAAAAGACAUUUUAUAUACAUUGACCUCUUUAUUUUCAAGGGGGAAGCUUUAAGACUGAGCAUGUCGCAGAGGUUCUGAGGGAUAGGGAAGGCUGUCAUGGCCUUGGCGGGCACUACCCUCCACAGCUCCCACAUCUGGAAGUUCUCUGACUCCUACAGUUCCUCUUUGUUGGUGGUUGCGGGGAAAUAUAAAAAAAUGAACGAGCGAG